UGAGGAAUAUUGGUCAAUGGACGCAAGUCUGAACCAGCCAUGCCGCGUGAAGGAUGAAGGCCUUCUGGGUUGUAAACUUCUUUUAUUGGGGAAGAAAAUUACGGUUUCUACUGUAACCGACGGUACCCAAGGAAUAAGCACCGGCUAACUCCGUGCCAGCAGCCGCGGUAAUACGGAGGGUGCAAGCGUUAUCCGGAUUCACUGGGUUUAAAGGGUGUGUAGGCGGGUAUUUAAGUCAGUGGUGAAAUCUCCAGGCUCAACCUGGAAACUGCCAUUGAUACUAUUUAUCUUGAAUAUUGUUGAGGUAGGCGGAAUAUAUCAUGUAGCGGUGAAAUGCUUAGAUAUGAUAUAGAACACCGAUUGCGAAGGCAGCUUACUAAACAAUCAUUGACGCUGAGGCACGAAAGCGUGGGGAUCAAACA
rnacentral:rRNA from 1 species